rnacentral:piRNA from 1 species
UAAACUUCCAUUUAUCUCUCCUUGCUUGUAU